rnacentral:rRNA from 1 species
AACGUACGCUGGCGGCACGCCUAAUACAUGCAAGUCGAACGAGGUAGCAAUACCUAGUGGCAGACGGGUGAGUAACAUGUGGGUAUCUUCCCUUUGGUGAGGAAUAACACGAGGAAACUUGUGCUAAUACCUCAUAAGUCUUUACGGAGAAAGCUUUAUGCGCCAAUGGAUGAGCCCGCACUUGAUUAGUUAGUUGGUAGGGUAAAAGCCUACCAAGACUUUGAUCAAUAGCUGAUUUGAGAGGAUGAUCAGCCACAUUGGGACUGAGACACGGCCCAAACUCCUACGGGAGGCAGCAGUAGGGAAUCUUGCACAAUGGAGGAAACUCUGAUGCAGCGAUGCCGCGUGAGUGAAGAAGGCCUUUGGGUUGUAAAGCUCUUUCGUCGGGGAAGAAAAUGACUGUACCCGAAUAAGAAGGUCCGGCUAACUUCGUGCCAGCAGA